rnacentral:other from 1 species
AAUCCCCUACCGUGUUCGUGAUGGGGCGAUUAUUUUUGAGCCAACACACACAAAAAGGGAACUCCUGACAGAGCAUGGUGUGCAGGCCCUUACAGAGGGAAGCCUAAAAUGCUCAUGGGGUGCCCACCUGAGUUUUCAGGUUCAAAAAGAGAGCCUUCACACGGCAUUCGGUGGGGGUUUU